rnacentral:rRNA from 1 species
UUUGCCUACGGGAGGCAGCAGUGAGGAAUAUUGGUCAAUGGACGCAAGUCUGAACCAGCCAUGCCGCGUGCAGGAUGACGGCUCUAUGAGUUGUAAACUGCUUUUGUACGAGGGUAAACCCCGAUACGUGUAUCGGGUUGAAAGUAUCGUACGAAUAAGGAUCGGCUAACUCCGUGCCAGCAGCCGCGGUAAUACGGAGGAUCCGAGCGUUAUCCGGAUUUAUUGGGUUUAAAGGGUGCGCAGGCGGGAGAUCAAGUCAGCGGUAAAAUGUCGGGGCUCCACCCCGGCCGGCCGUUGAAACUGGU